GACGAACGCUGGCGGCGUGCUUAACACAUGCAAGUCGAACGGUGAAGGGAUCAGCUUGCUGGUUCUGGAUGAGUGGCGAACGGGUGAGUAACACGUGAGUAACCUGCCCCCUUCUUCUGGAUAACCGCAUGAAAGUGUGGCUAAUACGGGAUAUUCUGGGUCUGUCGCAUGACGGGUCUGGGAAAGAUGCGCCUUUGGGUGUUUUUGGUGGGGGAUGGGCUCGCGGCCUAUCAGUUAGUUGGUGGGGUAACGGCCCACCAAGACAGCGAUCAGUAGCCGGCUUGAGAGAGUGUACGGCCACAUUGGGACUGAGACACGGCCCAGACUCCUACGGGAGGCAGCAGUGGGGAAUUUUGCACAAUGGGGGAAACCCUGAUGCAGCGACGCCGCGUGAUUUAGAAGGCCUUCGGGUUGUAAAAAUCUUUUCUAUGGGAAGAAAAUGACAGUACCAUAGGAAUAAGGACCGGCUAAUUACGUGCCAGCAGCCGCGGUAAUACGUAAGGUCCGAGCGUUGUCCGGAAUCAUUGGGCGUAAAGGGUACGUAGGCGGGUAAGCAAGUUAGAAGUGAAAUCCUAUAGCUCAACUAUAGUAAGCUUUUAAAACUGCUCAUCUUGAGGUAUGGAAGGGAAAGUGGAAUUCCUAGUGUAGCGGUGAAAUGCGCAGAUAUUAGGAGGAAUACCGGUGGCGAAGGCGACUUUCUGGCCAUAACCUGACGCUGAGGUACGAAAGCGUGGGUAGCAAACAGG
rnacentral:rRNA from 1 species